rnacentral:rRNA from 1 species
CCCUCCCUCUGUCGGCAUGCCUAACACAUGCAAGUCGAACGAGACCUUCGGGUCUAGUGGCGCACGGGUGCGUAACGCGUGGGAACCUGCCCUUAGGUUCGGAAUAACUCCCCGAAAGGGGUGCUAAUACCGGAUAAUGUCUUCGGACCAAAGAUUUAUCGCCUUUGGAUGGGCCCGCGUUGGAUUAGCUAGUUGGUAGGGUAAAAGCCUACCAAGGCGACGAUCCAUAGCUGGUCUGAGAGGAUGAUCAGCCACACUGGGACUGAGACACGGCCCAGACUCCUACGGGAGGCAGCAGUGGGGAAUAGUGGACAAUGGGCGAAAGCAUGAUGCAGCAAUGCCGCGUGAGUGAUGAAGGCAUUAGGGUUGUAAAGCUCUUUUACCCGGGAUGAUAAUGACAGUACCGGGAGAAUAAGCUCCGGCUAACUCCGUG